rnacentral:lncRNA from 1 species
GGACGAUGCUUUGCCUUUCUGGCUGUCUCUUGAGCAGGGGAAGCCAUGGUGUUUGGCUGCAGUUCUGCCAGCGCCUGCUCACACACCCCCAGGUCCUGAUGCCUUUAAGUAACUGAGCAAAGCAGCCAUCUCCAUUCGUAGCAACAACUGUGCCACAUGUGAAAGAAGGAGAGAGUUUGAGCACUAUAGGCUACUCACAGGCGAUACGUCUGCAAACCCAGAGCCAAGACAGUAGAGUCCGGCUUUGCAGACUCGCCUUCCUGAAGUCCUUGGAAUGCUGGCAUUCCCUCUAGCACUUCUCCCUGCUUUGUAAUUAUCCAUUUACACGUCUAUCAUUCCACUCAAUUCUGAAUUCUCUGAGGACACGGACCAGGAAUCCCUACUGCCCAGGACGGUGUGCAGUGCAGAACAAGGCUCAGCAAAUGUUGAGUUGUGAAAUCUGGGAGGCUCUCUCCUGGCUGUUUGGGAAGUCAGGUCCUUUAGAGGCUAAGAAUACAGGCCUGGAGUCAGCUGGGCAUGGAAUUAAAGGCCUUUUCUCCCACUUAUUGGCUGUCCAAUUUUGGGGAGUGGGAAGCCAGUGAUGUGGCUUCCUAGUAGCUGUCCCCAGCCUCUAGACUGUACCGUCUGGAUCUGCAGAGGCCUGUUCACUGUCAUGCCUUCAUGCAGAUCUCUGGGAGCAGCGUGUGCACCAUGGAUGUUUAAGGAAGCUUAUUGCCAGCAAUGUCCAGAUGACUGGUGAGCCACAGCAAGAGAGGGGCCUGGCUGCGGGAGGGAUCCAGAAAGCAGGGAGCUGAUGGAGGUUUAGGAUUAGGACCUGAGGAAGGGAUGCUAGGGCAAGGAUGCGGGAGGUAGCAGUGGCCUGAACCCUCCUACACUCUGGCCACAGACUUGAUGUGGCAGGAGUAGUUGGGUGGGCAUUUUUCCGCCUGGCAGCAGAGGUCGCUUUCUGUCCUCUCCCCACACCAUACAUCACACUUUCCAACUCCACCAUACUCAACCCCCUAAGAAGAAGAAAGAGGAAAUGAGCUCCACAACACAGGUCUGUUACGGACUGAAUAUGUGUGUCCCCUCAAAAUGCAUAUAUUGAAGCCCUAACACUCCAGUGGGAUGGUAUUUAGAUGUGGGGACUUUGGGAAGUGAUUAGGGUUAGAUGAGGUCACAGGGUAAGGCCCCUAUGAUGGAAUGAAUGGCCUUAUAAGAAGAGGAAGGAAAAGACUAGAGAGCAUGCAUGCGCUGUCAGUCUCUCUCCCUCCCUCCUUGCCACGGGAGGACACAGCAAGAAGGUGGCCAUCUGCAAGCCAGGAAGAGAGGCCUCACCAGGACCCACAUCAGCUGGCACCUUGAUCUUGGACUUCCAGCUUCUAGAACUGUAAGAAAUAAACGUCUAUGGCAUUCUGUUAUGGAAGCCCAAGCUGACUGAGACUGCAGCCCUGCCUUUCCUUUUAGGGUACCCAAAAUGGAGUCCUGUGGCCAACACAAGCCGUGUGCCUCAUCUCUUGCCAUGUUCCAGUAGGGGGAUAUAGCUGUGGCCAAGACAAGUGGGGAGGUAUCUGGGGUGCUCACAGGCAGGGCCUGGAGAGGAGCCCUCUUCUGGGCAACUUACACAGGACUCUGAGAUACUCCUCAGCAUCUCCCCUCCUUGGUGCUAGGCAUGGUGUCUUGCACACAGUGGGAGCUUUAUAUGUGUUUGGUGAGACAUUGAUUAAAAAUAAUAGACAGCGAAUACACGCAGAUGUGGAGAGAGACGGAACCAGCAGUUGCUAGAUUGGAGGAAAGAGUGUAUUCCCGCCUCAGCCCCGCCCUGUCCACAGCUAUGAAUUAAUCUGCGGUGGGGAGCGGGAUUCCUUCAUUAAAAUCUCCAAAAAGGGAGUCAUAUUAACAGCCAGGCACACCGUUCUUUUCCCUCAAGGUAAGAAGAUUCAUGGCUCAAACUUACAUUUUAUCACGCACAACCGAAUAAAAAUGAUCAAUUUCCCUGCCCGCCUUACAGCAUCCUUCCACAGUUAUUAAAGUCUCUAAAAAUGUUUUCCUUAAAAAAAAAAGGUUAAAAGAAAGAGAGGUGCAGAGAGUGCAAACCAAGAAGAAGCUGGGAAAUGCUGCCUAGCUGAGGGCUAUCCAUCUUGUCAGCUGCAGACCACAUAACCUUGAUGUCACUAUAUUUUCUGCUCAUAUCCAAAUUUACAAUUUGCCAGCCAAGGAUAUGGAAAUGCCAAACCUCCCCCUUGGAGGUGGAUGCUGGAAGGUUCUUAAAGAGCCUGAGAGAGAGGAGCAUCCUAGCUCUGAAAACUCCAAAAAGACACUGAGCCUGCUGCUGGACUCUUAGCAAUUUUCCCUGAGUUGGGAAAAACCAGCCUCCAAGGUCAAGGAGAUGGAUUUCAACUCCAGGGCCACACACACAUUCAGCAAGAGCCCCUUUGUUCAUUGAAGAACAAGCAGGUUUCCACUUUGGAGGGCCAGAAAUGUACCUGUGCAAGUUAGGAAAUGGGAGGGUUGGGCCACGCAACAAACAAACUCUGGUGUAAACCAGAGUGAAAGAGAAGUGUUUAACCUACAGGAAAGAGCAAACUGCAUGCCAGCCCUGCAGAGCUCCGCCUUGCAUGCAAACACACAAAUGGGUAAUUAUACAUCAUUCAUCUAGUGGGUCCCCAAGAACC